UGGGGAAUAUUGGACAAUGGGCGAAAGCCUGAUCCAGCCAUACCGCGUGAGUGAUGAAGGCCCUAGGGUUGUAAAGCUCUUUUAGUGGGGAAGAUAAUGACGGUACCCACAGAAAAAGUCCCGGCUAACUCCGUGCCAGCAGCCGCGGUAAUACGGAGGGGGCUAGCGUUGUUCGGAAUUAUUGGGCGUAAAGGGUGCGUAGGCGGCUUUGUAAGUCAAAUGUGAAAGCCUUAGGCUUAACCUAAGAACUGCAUUUGAUACUGCAAAGCUUGAACAUGAGAGAGGGCGAUGGAAUUCUUGGUGUAGGGGUGAAAUCCGUAGAUAUCAAGAGGAACGUCAGGGGCGAAAGCGAUCGCCUGGAUCAUGGUUGACGCUGAGGCACGAAAGCGUGGGGAGCAAACAGG
rnacentral:rRNA from 1 species